UACGUAGGGUGCAAGCGUUGUCCGGAAUUAUUGGGCGUAAAGAGCUCGUAGGCGGUUUGUUGCGUCGGCUGUGAAAUCCCGAGGCUCAACCUCGGGUCUGCAGUCGAUACGAGCAAACUAGAGUGUUGCAGGGGAGACUGGAAUUCCUGGUGUAGCGGUGAAAUGCGCAGAUAUCAGGAGGAACACCGGUGGCGAAGGCGGGUCACUGGUCCAUUACUGACGCUGAGGUGCGAAAGCGUGGGGAGCAAACAGG
rnacentral:rRNA from 1 species